GGGGGAGUGAGGGUGUGCUGGAGGUUUAUGUAAACAGAGUCAAAGAGCAAAUGGCCGGUCUGUGCAGAGGACACCAACCCAGGCACUCCAGUGACCCCUCGCACCACUACCUCAGAAGCCAUCAGUCUGAUUAGUCUUCUCCUCCUGGAGGGGAUUGGGAUGGAGGUGAGAAAAAGGCCACUCCAGAAGAGCAGCCUUCCCUGCUGCUUUGAUGGUGUCCGCAUAAAUGUUAAGAGAGAAAGAGAGAAAGGAAAAUAACCAAUGUCGUUUUCUCCAUUGUCUCUGUACAGCAAGGUUUAGUAAUCUUCAAAGUCGUAACAAAGAAAACAAAUCGAAGCUAGAGUUUGUGAGGGCAUCGGUGAGAAGGCAGAUGUCCUAAUCAAUCUGCCUAGAACCAGGUGAGAUGCUCUCUGGGACAGUGAAGGAAUCUGUGCAUAUGCUCUGAGGACUUAGAAGUUGGAAAUGGGCUGUUGGCCCAUUGGAACCAACCGCACAGUGGUGCAAGAAGUUUGCAGAGAUCUGAGUAAGAGUGAGGCGCUGGGAGAGGCCUUCUGUCUGAUCUGUAGAGUCCUCAACAAGAGGUGGGCCUGGAGGCCCCGCUGGCGGUAAAUCAGCGGAAGGCAGCAGAACUCUCAUGUCCUUGGGAACAAGAUGAAGACACAGGGACGGGGGAUGACUCAGCGCUGGAACCAUCCUCAGUGCCGUGAGCAAAAGCGUCGGAGUCGACCCAUCCAGGAGUCUCUGUGGCACCUCUCCAAGCUCUACCCAUCGCUGCCCUUCAUUGGUAAUUUGCACGUUAGCACAGAAGUGCGGGUGGAGUUAGAAAAUGACUCCAACCUGGGAGGGAGAGAUCGGCGCCCUAACUAAAGCUCUGACUUCACGUGUUGGCAUCUUGGUCUCAAACCAGCAGGUGGACUGAAUAAACGUAGAGAUGCAUUUCGAUUUUUUUUUUAAUAUGCAAAAACAGGAAAGGACAAGCAGGCAACAACUCAUAAAACAAACAAGGAACUUGGGAGCUUUGAUUGGUCAUACAUUAAAAUGAACUAACUACAAAAGAAUAGGGAUCAUUUAUUGGAUGGGAGUUAGGAGCACUGGCCCUGAAGCUAGCUUGUCAGUGUUUAGCUUCUGCCUCCUGGUUGGGCCACCUCCUCUUACCAGCAGGCCAGGGGACCCUGCCUGGAUCCUGGCUGGCUGGAUUUGACUGGCCGCCAGCAUGAGAAAUAAGCCAAUGAUAUAAAAAGAAAAUGAAUUUAACGCAGUUUGAUCCAGCUGGGGAAAAGCAGCUAGAUUGCUUCUCUCUAAGUCCUGUAGAAAUGGUUCCGAUUUAUAGAAACAAGCCAGGGAAUACACAUGCAGACUGCAGACUUAGCCGCGUUGGCCAGAGGGCUUGUCACUGUUCAGUCUCCCUGGCUCCCACCCCAGCCAGGCGGGAAUGGGGGGGGAGGGUGUUCUUACUAUCCAUUCUCAGCAUGAGGAAAUUUGGAGCUAAAACACUUCGGAGCUUUUAGUUUCAAAGGCGCUUUGUUUCAGUGGGACAAAUUCCUUUUUGCAACCACAUUCUGAAUAAUACUAUUUAGUAGGGUUCUUUUGAAUAUCCAAUGAGAUG
rnacentral:lncRNA from 1 species